GGCCUGCUACCUCAGUCGGUUAGAGCGUCGUGCUAAUAACGCGAAGGUCGUAGGUUCGAUCCCUGCGCAGGCCA
rnacentral:tRNA from 1 species